AUGAAUUCCAACAUCAUGGAGUCAAAGCCCAGGCCCAAAGAAAAGAUAAAGAGGCUUCUUAAUCCUUGCCAUAGAGGCAGGCUAAAAAUGGCUACAGCUUAUAAAUCUCAAGCUUUCAUGCUAAGUUUGCUUAAAGGGGAUCCAAAGAUGAUGGGGGUUCUCCAGGUCCUGAUAGGUCUAAUCGUCACUAUACUUGGAGCCUUUUUAUUUUCCAACAAAACUGAACUUCCAAAGUCAAGUUUUUCUCAUUUCUUUAUCACAAGGUACCCAUUCUGGACAGGAGCAUGUUAUGCCAUUAUAGGAGUCUUCACUAUUCUUAAUGGUGUGAACUAUAAAAAUCAGGAUCGUCUGAGUCUUUACAUGGAUGUCCUUGGGGCCCUGAUCUCUGCGUCUGGGAUCAGCGUCCUCUUCUACAGCUUAUCUCUCCAUCAGUUUGUUCACCCUGCAUCAGGUGGCAUGGGUGCCAUGGUUGAACCCCUUCUUCAUGGUGUUCUGUCUGUUUUGUUGAUCCUCACCAUCUUCCAAUUCUCCAUCACAGCAAUGGUCUUAGCUUCGAAGUGUAAAGGAACAGGGGAAAGCCCUGCAGAUGAGGCGUGUUCAACAUCACUGAGAGACCCACGACAGAAUAUCUAUUUUCCCUUCUUCUGAAGUCAA
rnacentral:lncRNA from 1 species